GAGCUGAAGGCAAAUCCGUCAGGUGAGAGGAUUAUGCAUUUUUUACUUCUAUGCCAAAACUGACAAGCUCAAGCCUUGUUUUUAUUUAGUAUGCUUUCUGCACCUUUCAUUUCAUUUUGGUUCUGUUUUGGGUUAGUUAUGCUUGUUAAUCUUUGGUCUAUGUUGUGCUUUUUGUGGAAUAUGAUGUGUCUUUUCGGUGUUAAACUCGAAGGGUUCUCUUUUAUUGUCUCAUGGAAUGUUGCUAAAUAAAGCAUUACUAAUUUUAACCCUCUAAUGUAAAGGAUUAAACACUGUAUUUUCUAAAAAUUUUGUGCUCUUGCCUAGUACGUUUAGGCUCUGAGGUUGCCUAUUCUCCCCUGCUGCUAUUAUUACUGCCAGUACUACUAGAGGGAGCGGAGCCGCGGGGGUGGGUGGGUGGUGUGAUGUU
rnacentral:misc_RNA from 1 species